ACAGUUGACCCUUAAAGAACACAUAUUUUGAACUAUGGCCCAGUUACACGUGGAUUUUUUCAGUAAAAUUACACCAUGUCUGUCUGCCUCUCCUGCCUCCUCUUCCACCGCCUCCACCUCUUCUGCCUCUGCCAAUCCUGUGACAGCAAGAACAACCCCUCCACUUUUUCCUCCUCCUCAGCCCGUUCAAUGUGAAGAAAAGGAUGAAGAUCUUUACGAUGAUCAACUUCUAUUUAAUGAAGGCAAAGCAGAAGAAUCAAAGGAUUGCUUUCUACAGACGUUAACUAAGAAUGAACGAGGCAAAUGAGUAAAGGAAGCAGGUACCCCUUGGCACAAGUGAUGUCCAGCGGCAAGGGAUGGCUCUUUUUGGAGAUACAUGAUGCCACCUGUGAAUAGUUGUGUAGCCAGCAGUUUCAAGGCCUGGAGAUGAAGCCCUUCUUGAGAGACCUGAAUGGCAAGACUUUCUGUCCAGAGUAGGGAACUCCGUAACCUAUCACAGACUCCUCUGCUGAGAGUAGGUCUCAUAUAUCUAUGAAUCUCUCAAUCUGUUCUUCACUGCCUCAUCUAUGGUUAUCCAAAAAAUCAUGGUUGUUAUGUCUGGUGCUACCUGCACCUCCAGUGAAUCCAUGGAUACCUCCAGCAGGUUUUUCUUUGGUCAUGACAGAUGCUAAUUUAUUGCCCUGUUGCCAUCAGUCACACAAUUUUGACCACAGCAUGAUGCAUAACUGCAUGAGCUAUUCCUCACAUAGAGGGCCAGUCCCACUAUAGCUGCAGUAGAUAUCAUCUUCAUUGACCCUGGCAAUGAUUUCAAGCAGCUCAGUCACUGGCACAAAGGCAUGCAGGCUCCCAAAACCAAUUAUGCUCACGCUCUUUGGUUGUAAUGAUGACAUACAUAAUAGCUUUCAAACCAAGGGCCUAUCUCACAUCAUGUUUCCAUUGUGGUUGGCAAUUUAGUAGUUGUAAAAAGGGAGAAGUAAAAUAAAUGGCAAAAUGAAACAAACAAAUAUAUUAUUUUCCUCUUCUAGAAAGAGGCAAAUACAUAUAUUCUUUCAAUCUCUUAGUAAUAGUCUGCAAUGGUUAAUUUUUAUAUGCCAACUUGAUUGGGCUAAGAGAUAUCCAAAUUGCUUAUAAAACUAUUUCUGAAUGCAUCUGUGAAGGUGUUUUCAUAAGCAACUACCAUUUAAAUAAGUAUACUGUGUACAGCAUGUUAUUGAGUAUGCUCUCAAUAAUAUGGAUGGGCAUCAUCCAAUUCACUGAGGGCACAGAUAGAAUGAAAAAGGCAGAGGGGGGAUAAAUUAGCCCUCUCUGCCUGAGCUGGCCAGUCUGCUUCUCCUGCCCUUGGCCACUGGAGCUUCUGGUUCUUGGGUCUUUGGACUGGGAUUUAGGCCAUUGGCACCCCUGGUCCUCAGGGCUUUACGUUUGGAUUGGAAUUGUACCACAAGCUUUCCUGGGCCUCCAGCUUGCAUACAUCAGAUUGUGGGAUUUUUCAGCCUAUAUAAUCAAAUAUUCUAAUUCUUCAUAAUGAAUCUCUUUCUAUAUAUCUAUAUGUAUGUAUGUAUCUUUCUAGCUAUCUAAUCUAUCCUAUUGAAGACACAUUCAAAUAAGGUCUUUCAGUUUCUGAACUAAUUAUCUUCGAUAAAGGCAAGGUAUUGAAACAAAAUAAAACAACAAAAGAAUUCUCUUAUUAGAAUUAGAAAUACUUUCUAUUGUUUUUUCAAGACAUUGUGUUUGUUCUAGCACGGGACCAAACAUACUUUGAAUUUGACGUCUGUAUGAAAAGACCUGACAAAGAUAUAAAGAAGACAAAACAACCACAAAAAGACAUAUUUCAGUGAUAUAACAUUUUUUAUUAAAGUUUUACCAAAGUAAUGAAUUUCCCACAAUCUCAAAAGACACUGAAAGGUUAGUUUUAUUUUUUAACUGCAUUUUCUUCACGACAAGAGUAUUUAUAAUUUAUAGCACUGAUUUAAUUUUGAAAAUGGAAACUGACUUAUGUGGAGUUUUAUGCAACAAAGGGAGGUGGAUUUUUAAGCUGAAAAAUACAUAUUACAAAGAUGAGAAAAAUAAAACGUUCUACACUUUUAAAGUUUUACAGAAAAGCAGAAUCAAUUAUAUUCUCUUCUAAUCUAAGUAAUAUUUUCGUUGUGGAAUCCCAAAAAAUAAUCUCCACAACUCAGUAAAUGAAGGAGAGCAGCUCUCACAUUCUUAUAUAAAUGGAAACAUUUAGGAUGAUAAAGGAUACAUAAACUGGAUUACUAAAAUCUGUGGCUUAUUAACAAGUUCCUAAAGAAGUUCAUGGCUUAGUCAUCUGAAGAGCUCUUUUUAUGUGAACCAAAAUACUUCGUUUUUGAGAGACAGAAUUUUUCUUUAUAUUUAUAUAACCAAAUAAGAAAAACUAUUAUUUCAUGUAAGUGAACGUUCUAGGAAUAGAUUUGUUAUUCUAUACAGGGCUGGUUCUAGCUGCAUAAACGAUUUCAUGGAGAUUAAGUGUUUCUCUGUGUGGAUGUCUCUCUCUCUCUCUCUCUCUCUCUCUCUCUCUCUCCCCCCCUCUCUCUGUCUCCCUGUCUCUGCCCUGACCCCCACUUCUGGAUUCUUUAAAUUGGCUUGAUUUUCAAGCAUUCUCUCACUCUUUGGUGUGACAAUGACUGGCAAUGUCCACCUCCAACUAGCUUAAUAAAUCUGUAAUUCAAAGAGUUCUAGUGAAUAUCUUGGGUUGUGUCUUUGGACCAACCAGGAUCACUUGUCCAGUCCUGAGUUAACUGGAUAGGUCAUGAAACACAAAUUGUGAUGGGCGGCAUCUCGCAUCAUCCCUUAGAACCACAAGUGUGGUGUCAGUCCAUCUUAAAACACACAAACCUAGAAUCUGGGGAGCUGUUCCCCAAACAAAAAAUUUGUAUGAUGUUGCCAAGUAUAAAGGAAUGAAUACUUGGAGAGAAAACAAAAAACAAAAAACAUAAACAACUCUUGCUAACUGAACUUCCACUGACUCUAGAGUAAGUAUUACAUAUUGGAAAAUAUUUCUUAGUUUUUACACAAAAUAAGUGCACUGAUUGUAAUCUAGCCUUUCUUUAGCAAUGUAUGUGUAUGAAUGUGUGUGUGUGUGUGUGUCAUCCUAGACCUUUCUGGAGACAUUCGUUAAUUGAAAAAGUUAUUAAAUGAUGGAACUUUAAGGGUUAAUAAAACUGUCCACUGGAAAAAACGAGUGGGAAUAAAUGAAAUCCUAUCUCUAUUUAUCCUCACCUUGGCCUGCUUAUGUUUUAAAUCAUUGUCAUGAUCACGCCACCAUUAGAGUGAUUCGAGUUCUACAUAGCCUGUCUAAACCAGUAGCCCGGUGAAGUACUUUGUAAGGAAUUUGAAACAUAAAAAGCUCAAGAAGGGAGCAACGUAAUACAAAGCAAUCUGAAAGCAACGCUUAGCAAUUAAUAUAUGGUAAUUCCUCUCUAUAAUUUUUUUUGGUAUUUUCUUUGAAAAUUAUAUUUUUCAAAAUAGUUUAUUUCAAAAAAUGCCCUCACAAUACUUCACACACAUUCAAAUGGUGUUCUCAUUUGUCUGCUUUCCUUAAGGGUAGUAGUAGAUGUGUGGAUAAUGUUGCAAAUAGAGAACAGAAACAGGAAACAGUAAAGAUAUAUGUUUUUAUCUACCAAAAAAGCAUUGAUAUUCUUAGCAUUCUCUGUCUUUCUGUCCAAAAUUAAUCUCCCUUUCACACCUCAAA